rnacentral:rRNA from 7 species
ACGAACGCUGGCGGCGUGCUUAACACAUGCAAGUCGAACGAUGAACUUGGAGCUUGCUCCGGGGGAUUAGUGGCGAACGGGUGAGUAACACGUGAGUAACCUGCCCUUGACUCUGGGAUAACCUCCGGAAACGGAAGCUAAUACCGGAUAUGACGCACGGAGGCAUCUCCUGUGCGUGGAAAGAAUUUCGGUCAAGGAUGGACUCGCGGCCUAUCAGGUAGUUGGUGAGGUAACGGCCCACCAAGCCUACGACGGGUAGCCG